UUUGAGACGGCGUCUUAUUCUGCUGUCAGCCUGGAGUGCAACGGCGCGAUCUCGGCUCACUGCAAUCUCUGCCUCCCGGGUUCAAGCGAUUCUCCUGCCUCAGCCUCCUGAGUAGCUGCUACUAGAGACGCCCGCCACCAUGCCCGGCUAAUGUUUUUGUAUUUUUAGUAGAGAUGGGGUAUCACCAUGUUGGCCAGGGUGGUCGCCAUCUCCUGACCUCGUGAUCCGCCCGCCUUGGCCUCCCAAAGUGCUCAGAUUACAGCUGUGAGCCACCACACCCUGCCGAGUCCUACUAUUUUUAACAAGCAAAUCGCAAGGCAAUUUUCAACCACUUGCAGUUAAACAAAGUCACAAGACUAGGCCUGGGCAAUGGGAUAUGUGAGGAAGUGAUGUGAAUUCCUGGCCAAAGCAUGGAAGCGCAGAGGCAAGACCAUCCAGGUGACUCUUGCGAAGCAUCAGCUAUGGAGGCAAUGUGGUCCACGACACUUGUGACAGGGUUUCCAAAUGCCUGCCGCUUCAUCCCAGACUGUGUGGAAUACGCUCUACCUCUUUCUGACAGUGCUCCAAGGGUUAGCCUAAUAGGAAGGUGAAAGGCAGAGGCCAAGGGUGUGGGAAGUGAUUUCUGGCCAUUAGCUAUUUUACUAUCAAUUCUGAUUUCCUUAAGGGGCUUAAAACUGUCACUAUGUUCAAAGGUUUACACACUUACAACAGCCUCAGACAGCAAAAAAGAUAGUCAAUUUUCCACUAUAAUAUUAUAAUAGCACUUGUGCUAUUUAGUGCUCUCUACUCUGAUGAGUUUCUGGGACUUGUGGGGUAUGAUUCCCAGUGUGGCAACUUGACUUUAGCUGUUCCCUCACUUACCAGCAUUGACAUUUGAUUUUCGAUGUUUAUAAAUGGUCUUUUCCUCACCCCUUCACAGUGAUAGGCUUAUUUUGUUUGUUUCUUUGUGUUUUAAAUAAAAGCAAAUUGAAUAUAGUUGCAUUUCUGUAAUGACUUAACACUGCUUUAAAAAAUUGGUGAAUGAUGAAAGUCUGAAUAUGAAAAUAACAAACCAAUAAAUAUUGUGAAAUCUUAUAUAUGCUAUAACUUUUUUAAUUCUGAGUUAUCCAUUUUGAAUUUUCAUUAAAAUGUUUAAUAUAA
ensembl:lincRNA